rnacentral:rRNA from 1 species
UACAGAGGGCCCGAGCGUUGUUCGGAUUCAUUGGGCGUAAAGGGUGCGUAGGUGGCUAGGUAAGUUGGAUGUGAAAUCCUGGGGCUUAACCUCAGAAUUGCAUUCAAUACUGCUUAGCUAGAGAGCUGUAGAGGAGACUGGAAUUUACGGUGUAGCAGUGAAAUGCGUAGAUAUCGUAAGGAACGCCAGUGGCGAAAGCGAGUCUCUGGGCAGCAUCUGACACUGAGGCACGAAGGCCAGGGGAGCAAACGGG